rnacentral:rRNA from 1 species
GUAGGUGGCAAGCGUUGUCCGGAAUUAUUGGGCGUAAAGCGCGCGCAGGCGGUUCUUUAAGUCUGAUGUGAAAGCCCACGGCUCAACCGUGGAGGGUCAUUGGAAACUGGAGAACUUGAGUACAGAAGAGGAAAGCGGAAUUCCACGUGUAGCGGUGAAAUGCGUAGAGGUGUGGAGGAACACCAGUGGCGAAGGCGGCUUUCUGGUCUGUAACUGACGCUGAGGCGCGAAAGCGUGGGGAGCAAACAGGGAUUAGAUACCCUGGUAGUCCACGCCGUAAACGAUGAGUGCUAAGUGCUAGGGGGGUUUCCGCCCCCUUAGUGCUGCAGCUAACGCAUUAAGCACUCCGCCUGGGGAUACGGCCGCAAGGCUG